rnacentral:rRNA from 1 species
GAUGAACGCUGGCGGCGUGCUUAACACAUGCAAGUCGAACGAAGCACUUUAUUUGAUUUCCUUCGGGACUGAUUAUUUUGUGACUGAGUGGCGGACGGGUGAGUAACGCGUGGGUAACCUGCCUUGUACAGGGGGAUAACAGUUGGAAACGGCUGCUAAUACCGCAUAAGCGCCCAGCAUCGCAUGAUGCAGUGUGAAAAACUCCGGUGGUAUAAGAUGGACCCGCGUUGGAUUAGCUAGUUGGUGAGGUAACGGCCCACCAAGGCGACGAUCCAUAGCCGACCGGAGAGGGGGACCGGCCACAUUGGGACUGAGACACGGCCCAAACUCCUACGGGAGGGAGCAGUGGGGAAUAUUGCACAAUGGGCGGAAGCCUGAUGCAGCGACGCCGCGUGAGCGAAGAAGUAUUUCGGUAUGUAAAGCUCUAUCAGCAGGGAAGAUAAUGACGGUACCUGACUAAGAAGCACCGGCUAAAUACGUG